AGGCCGAGCAAAGUAACAACGUGGAAAACCAGCCAGAAGAUGAAGGUCCAGAGGAGGUCUCAGAGGUGGACACUCAGGAAGGGCAAGGCAACAUUGAGCCUGAAAUGGAGGGAGAGCAAAAUGUCACAAACGAUGAGCAAAUGGAAGGUGAAGCAGCUAAUAACCUUCCAGAGGGGGCCGAGCCAGAAGAUGCACCAGAAACCAAUGAUUAGAACGAGAUGAGAUCUUGCCCUGUAAAGGCCCAGGUGUUGAUGUUGUCCUCUUCCUCCUGUGGCCAGCCCCCCCGUUCCUCCCGCUGAGAGGACCAUGGCCUGAUUGGACACAGCAUGCAUGUUUUUAUUCUGAUCGAGAAAGAGAUGUGCACUGAGUGGUUAUGCUCGAGAGGUUAGUAACCCACAUCGCUUCUAGUUUUUCUCCUCUUGUCAUAUGCUGUAUGACUGAGUCAGUCUAUUUAGAAUGCGUUCGCUUGCUUCUCAGGUUUUAACAGGCUUUUCCCUUAUCGACCACACACAUUAGGUCCAUGGGCGCAAUUUUCUGCAGGGUUUUUCCUGGCUAAAAUUGAGGCAGAGGUGCUACCAUCCUGACCAUGCUCCAUGACGUGCAUGUAUUCUGUAAAUUCAACACUUUCUUUGACAAGAAACCUACUUUUAAGUUAAGAGUUCCAAUAAGAAUAUGACUUAUCAUGUUCAAGCAUUCGUUUCUUAAAACUUCUUCUCAGAGUCCACAAACUCUUCCUUGGAAAUUAAUAAACUUCACUCAAGUACUACAAGGUGAAAAAGUGCCAUGUAAAUAAAAUCAGUCAGGAGUAAGGCUCGUGUCUUCAAUUCCUUCUGUCAGGGUAUGCAGAAGCAUGACCCCUCCUGUUUUAUAAGAUAGUGGCGGCUCGCAAGUCUAAACCGUAGUGCUUCUCUAUUCCUAUUCUUUGUCCGUGACCUCAUUGAAUUGUCCACGAAACAAACUCUAAAUGAGAAUAAUGAUAACGAUAAAAGAUAUAGCGCAACAGCUCCGAUCACAAGCUGCAUUUGCAGACUGCUGAGCGCUAACAAUGCAGGUCACGCACAGGUGAAAGAUUUACCUGCUUUAUUUUAUUUAUUUUUUUAAUACUUUUUGUGAAAAUGAGACUGAUAGGCUGACUAAGGUGCAGUGUACAUUAACACAAAAAAAUAUAUUAC